UACAGAGGGUGCAAGCGUUAAUCGGAAUUACUGGGCGUAAAGGGCUCGUAGGCGGCCAACUAAGUCAGACGUGAAAUCCCUCAGCUUAACUGGGGAACUGCGUCUGAUACUGGAUGGCUUGGAUUCGGGAGAGGAAUGCGGAAUUCCAGGUGUAGCGGUGAAAUGCGUAGAUAUCUGGAGGAACACCGGUGGCGAAAGCGGCAUUCUGGACCGACAUUGACGCUGAGGAGCGAAAGCCAGGGGAGCAAACGGG
rnacentral:rRNA from 1 species